rnacentral:lncRNA from 1 species
GUGAUUGGGUUUGGGUGCUGGGCGGGGCCGAAUGGUAUAUGAGCCCCAGGCAUGCUAUCAGAGAGCUCAUUCUGCCUGGGCUGCUCCUUGAGCCUUGGAGAGAUGAAGUCCCCAUGGUGUGGAGUGGUGCAAAAAGAGGAAUGGUCCAGCAAUUCGGGUUAAUAGGGGACAAGAGAACAAAGGGGUUUCAGAAUAACUGCUAACUGUUAUGACUAUUGCAUGGGGCACUAUGCAAGUCUCUGACAUCCAGCCAAGAUGGACAAAGGAGAAGGACAAGGGAAAAGCCUGGGAGGAAGACUAUGAGCCUUCAGUACGAGAGACCCGCAGAGGGACCACCAGAGACUGAUAACACAUGCGUCAGUGGGCGGGUUCGGAUUCCAGGAACUAGUUAUAAUAACCCUGCCUUUUCUAGAAGUAGUAAUGAAUAUGUAUUAGCCUAGGAGCAUAAAAACCAGCCGCCUGCUGUGACUUGUGUGCGUCUCGGUGGAGCAGAGACUCCCGGCGCACCCAGUGCUGUUUGCUUACCUCUAUUCAUUUAAUAAAUUGUAAACUUUGAUUGUAAUCCUAUUUGGG